CACCGCGGUUAUACGAGCGACCCAAGUUGAUAGCCUACGGCGUAAAGCGUGGUUAAGAAAAUAAAAUACUAGGGCCGAACCUCCACACAGCUGUUAUACGCAUACGAGAAUAUGAAGCCCCCCUACAAAAGUGGCCCCAACCUACUCUGACCCCACGAAAGAUGCAAAA
rnacentral:rRNA from 1 species